GAUGAACGCUAGCUACAGGCUUAACGCAUGCAAGUCGAGGGGUAACAAGAGAAAAGCUUGCUUUUCUUGUUGACGACCGGCGCACGGGUGAGUAACGCGUAUCCAACCUGCCUAUAACUAGGGAAUAACCUUGCGAAAGUAAGACUAAUACCCUAUGAUUUCCUUUGAUGACAUCAGAUUAGGAAUAAAGAUUUAGCGGUUAUAGAGGGGGAUGCGUCUUAUUAGCUUGUUGGCGGGGUAACGGCCCACCAAGGCAACGAUCAGUAGGGGUUCUGAGAGGAAGGUCCCCCACAUUGGAACUGAGACACGGUCCAAACUCCUACGGGAGGCAGCAGUGAGGAAUAUUGGUCAAUGGGCGGAAGCCUGAACCAGCCAAGUAGCGUGCAGGAUGGCGGCCCUAUGGGUUGUAAACUGCUUUUAUACAGGAAUAAAGUUAGCCACGUGUGGUUAUUUGUAGGUACUGUAUGAAUAAGGACCGGCUAAUUCCGUGCCAGCAGCCGCCGUAA
rnacentral:rRNA from 1 species